GACGAACGCUGGCGGCGUGCCUAAUACAUGCAAGUCGAGCGGAUCUUCAUUAGCUUGCUUUUGAAGAUCAGCGGCGGACGGGUGAGUAACACGUGGGCAACCUGCCUGUAAGACUGGGAUAACUUCGGGAAACCGGAGCUAAUACCGGAUAAUCCUUUUCCUCUCAUGAGGAAAAGCUGAAAGACGGUUUCGGCUGUCACUUACAGAUGGGCCCGCGGCGCAUUAGCUAGUUGGUGAGGUAACGGCUCACCAAGGCGACGAUGCGUAGCCGACCUGAGAGGGUGAUCGGCCACACUGGGACUGAGACACGGCCCAGACUCCUACGGGAGGCAGCAGUAGGGAAUCUUCCGCAAUGGACGAAAGUCUGACGGAGCAACGCCGCGUGAGCGAUGAAGGCCUUCGGGUCGUAAAGCUCUGUUGUCAGGGAAGAACAAGUAUCGGAGUAACUGCCGGUACCUUGACGGUACCUGACCAGAAAGCCACGGCUAACUACAUGCCAGCCGCCGCCGUAAAAC
rnacentral:rRNA from 1 species